rnacentral:rRNA from 1 species
UGAGGAAUAUUGGUCAAUGGGCGAGAGCCUGAACCAGCCAAGUCGCGUGAAGGAAGAAGGUUCUAUGGAUUGUAAACUUCUUUUGUAAGGGAAUAAAAAGAGUUACGUGUAACUUAUUGUAUGUACUUUACGAAUAAGGAUCGGCUAACUCCGUGCCAGCAGCCGCGGUAAUACGGAGGAUCCAAGCGUUAUCCGGAUUUAUUGGGUUUAAAGGGUGCGUAGGCGGACCUUUAAGUCAGUGGUGAAAGUUUGCGGCUUAACCGUAAAAUUGCCAUUGAAACUGAAGGUCUUGAGUGUAAAUGAGGUAGGCGGAAUGUGUUGUGUAGCGGUGAAAUGCUUAGAUAUUACACAGAACACCGAUUGCGAAGGCAGCUUACUGGGCCGUUACUGACGCUGAUGCACGAAAGCGUGGGGAUCGAACA